rnacentral:rRNA from 1 species
AGGGACGCUAAUACCGCAUACGUCCUACSGGAGAAAGCAGGGGACCUUCGGGCCUUGCGCUAUCAGAUGAGCCUAGGUCGGAUUAGCUAGUUGGUGAGGUAAUGGCUCACCAAGGCGACGAUCCGUAACUGGUCUGAGAGGAUGAUCAGUCACACUGGAAUGAGACACGGUCCAGACUCCUACGGGAGGCAGCAGUGGGGAAUAUUGGACAAUGGGCGAAAGCCUGAUCCAGCCAUGCCGCGUGUGUGAAGAAGGUCUUCGGAUUGUAAAGCACUUUAAGUUGGGAGGAAGGACAUUAACCUAAUACGUUGAUGUUUUGACGUUACCGACAGAAUAAGCACCGGCUAACUCUGUGCCAGCAGCCGCGGUAAUACAGAGGGUGCAAGCGUUAAUCGGAAUUACUGGGCGUAAAGCGCGCGUAGGUGGUUUGUUAAGUUGAAUGUGAAAUCCCCGGGCUCAACCUGGGAACUGCAUCCAAAACUGGCAAGCUAGAGUAGGGCAGAUGGGUGGUGGAAUUUCCUGUGUAGCGGUGAAAU